rnacentral:rRNA from 1 species
GUCCUUUUGUUAUAUAUUUAAGGUUUAACCUGCCCACUGAAUAAUUUAAAUGGCCGCAGUAUUUUAACUGUGCAAAGGUAGCAUAAUCAUUAGUUUUUUAAUUAAAAGCUUGUAUGAAAGGUUGGACGAGGUAAAAACUGUCUUUAUUUAAUUAAUUAUAAAAUUUAAUUUUUAAGUUAAAAAGCUUAAAUUUUUUUAAAAGACGAGAAGACCCUAUAGAUCUUUAUAUUUAUUAUUUUAUUUUUAAUUAAGAUUUAUUUAAAUUUUAUUAUAUUAAAUAUUUUAUUGGGGUAAUAAGAAGAUUAAAAAAAUUCUUUUAUUUAUUAUUCAUUGAUUAAUGUUUUAAUGAUCCAAUUUUAUUGAUUAUAAGAUUAAGUUACCUUAGGGAUAACAGCGUAAUUUUUUUAGAGAGUUCAUAUCGAUAAAAAAGUUUGCGACCUCGAUGUUGGAUUAAAGAUUAAUUUAGGUGUAGAUGUUUAAAUUUUUGGUCUGUUCGACCAUUAAAUCUUUACAUGAUCUGAGUUCAGACCGGUGUAAGCCAGGUCGGUUUCUAUCUUUAAUAAAAUAAUAUAUUUUAGUACGAAAGGACCAAAUAUAUAAUAUAGAUAUUUAUUAAUUUUUGAAUAUUAUUAAUUAUUUUGGCAGAAUAGUGCAAUGAAUUUAGAAUUCAUAUAUGUAAAUUUUUACAAGUAAUACUUGUUUUAUAUAGAUAUAAUAUUUUCUUUUAUUUGUAUAUUAUUAUU